UUAUUUAUGUGUUUGAAACUGCUUGAUUGAUUUAUUAUUAUUAUUAUUUUGAUAUUUUUCAGUGCUCAGAAUUGGAGAUUUGCAGCAAAGCAGUUUUGAAAAAGUAUCCUGAGGAUGUUACUGUUCAUUGCAGUGAGCGCAAUUCUUCAAUAUUGACAUUUGAUGGUGUCGAUGUAAUGCGUGACAGAUUAGCAUAGGAGGUUCCAUUGUUUGGUGGAUCCUAUGCACUCGAAAAACUUGCUGCUCGAAUAUCAUGGUUGCUUGGCAGAACUGGAAAAUAUUUAUUUCUGAAGGAUGGAAAGAAUGGAAAACCAUUGCUUCUUCUCUGGAUGGUCAGUGAUUGCGAAGAUCUUAAAUUUAUGUGAGUUUUUGUAAGGUUCCUAUGUUAAUUUAAAGCAUG